rnacentral:tRNA from 1 species
UCCCUGGUGGUCCAGUGGCUAAGACUCCAUGCUCCCAAUGCAGGAGGCCAGGUUCACUUCCUGGUCAGGGAA